AUUGAACGCUGGCGGCAUGCUUUACACAUGCAAGUCGAACGGUAACAGGCCGCAAGGUGCUGACGAGUGGCGAACGGGUGAGUAAUGCAUCGGAACGUGCCCAGUCGUGGGGGAUAACGCAGCGAAAGCUGCGCUAAUACCGCAUACGAUCUAUGGAUGAAAGCGGGGGACCGUAAGGCCUCGCGCGAUUGGAGCGGCCGAUGUCAGAUUAGGUAGUUGGUGGGGUAAAGGCUCACCAAGCCAACGAUCUGUAGCUGGUCUGAGAGGACGACCAGCCACACUGGGACUGAGACACGGCCCAGACUCCUACGGGAGGCAGCAGUGGGGAAUUUUGGACAAUGGGCGCAAGCCUGAUCCAGCAAUGCCGCGUGCAGGAAGAAGGCCUUCGGGUUGUAAACCGCUUUUGUACGGAACGAAACGGUCCUGGUUAAUACCCGGGGCUAAUGACGGUACCGUAAGAAUAAGCACCGGCUAACUACGUGCCAGCCGCCACAGUAAAAC
rnacentral:rRNA from 1 species